AGAUUCAAACUCGUACCUUUUGCAUCAUGAUUUAGCUAGAAAACCUCAAGCAAAGAGCACUUUAGUUUGACCCCCCGAAACUACGUGAGCUACUCCAAGACAGCCUAACAACUAGGGCAAACCCGUCUCUGUGGCAAAAGAGUGGGAAGAUCUUUGAGUAGAGGUGACAGACCUAUCGAACCUAGUUAUAGCUGGUUGCCUGAGAAAUGAAUAGAAGUUCAGCCUCUCGGAUUCUCCCCUCACCCCACCUCCCUCCCCCCGACAAUUAAAAGAAACCGAAAGAGUUAGUCAAAGGGGGUACAGCCCCUUUGACACAAGAUACAACUUUUCCAGGAGGGUAAAGAUCACAAUUCAACACCAAGGUAAAAUGUUUAGGUGGGCCUAAAAGCAGCCACCCCAUAGAAUGCGUUAAAGCUCAAACAUAACCACCACCCCCAAUCCUGAUAAUCUUAUCUUAACCCCCUAACCCUACCAGGCCGUUCCAUGCAAACAUGGAAGCGACCAUGCUAAUAUGAGUAAUAAGAGAAUAGUCAUCUCUCUCCUUGCACAAG
rnacentral:rRNA from 1 species